rnacentral:rRNA from 1 species
GUUUCGGGCACGGUCCGGGCUUAAAUUUCUUGGAACAGAAUGUCACAGAGGGUGAGAAUCCCGUCUGGAGUCCGGACACGGCCCAUGUGAAACUCCUUCGACGAGUCGAGUUGUUUGGGAAUGCAGCUCUAAAUGGGUGGUAAAUUUCAUCUAAAGCUAAAUACUGGCCAGAGACCGAUAGCGCACAAGUAGAGUGAUCGAAAGAUGAAAAGCACUUUGAAAAGAGAGUUAAACAGUACGUGAAAUUGUUGAAAGGGAAGCGCUGUCAACCAGACUUGCGCGUCGGGGUUCCCCCUUGCUUCUGCCUGGGUUACUCCCCGGCGUUCAGGCCAACAUCGGUUUCGGGGGUUGGUUAAAGGCCCUGGGAAUGUAUCUACCCUCCGGGGUAGACUUAUAGCCCAGGGUGUCAUGCGACCUCCCGGGACCGAGGAACGCGCUUCGGCUCGGAUGUUGGCGUAAUGGUUGUCAGCGACCCGUCUUGAAACACGGACCAAGGAGUCUAACAUCUAUGCGAGUGUUAGGGUGUCAAACCCUUACGCGGAAUGAAAGUGAACGGAGGUAGGAAGCCUUAAGGCUGCACUAUCGACCGAUCCUGAUGUCUUCGGAUGGAUUUGAGUAAGAGCAUAGCUGUUGGGACCCGAAAGAUGGUGAAC